AACGGCCGCACCAUGGUGAAUAUACCGGUUCUCGUUAGAUCACCGAAGUUAAGCAUCAUUGGGCGCGGUCAGUACUUGGGUGGGUGACCACCUGGGAACACUGCGUGCCGUU